rnacentral:sRNA from 1 species
GCCGGGCAUGGUGGCACACGCCUGUAAUCCCAGCAGCUUGGGAGGCUGAGGCAAGAGGAUCACAAGUUUGAGGCCAGCCUCAGCAACUUGGUGAGGCUCUAAGCAACUUAGUGAGACCCUGUCAAAU